AGUAACGCGUGGGUAACCUGCCUCAUACAGGGGGAUAACAGUUAAAAAUAGACUGCUAAUACCGCAUAAGCGCACAGUGCUGCAUGGCACAGUGUGAAAAACUCCGGUGGUAUGAGAUGGACUCGCGUCUGAUUAGCUAGUUGGUGGGGUAACGGCCUACCAAGGCGACGAUCAGUAGCCGGCCUGAGAGGGUGAACGGCCACAUUGGGACUGAGACACGGCCCAA
rnacentral:rRNA from 1 species